GCCAUGGUAGCUCAGCGGGAGAGCAUACGACUGAAGAUUGUGGGGUCCCGGGUUCGAAUCCCGGCCAUGGCA
rnacentral:tRNA from 1 species